rnacentral:lncRNA from 1 species
AGUAGUGCGCUUUCUCGCGGCUGUCAUAAGUACCACGCUGUUGACUGGGACACCGAUCUCCAAUUCUGUCCUUGAGGCAAUAAAGAUGUGGCGAAGGCCCGAGGUGAGGCCACUGCCACUGCACUUAGUCCUGCGACUCCCCUAAGGACGGGCCGAGGAAUGGCGGGCUAGCCACUUCCCAGUCCUGUCCCUACGGGGCAGAAAAAGGCUCGGCAUCCCGGGAUCCGGAGGGUCACUUCCCUCGCUGCAUCCCCAUUGUGCAACUGCCAGUCUAAAAAUUGAUAUAGGUUAAUCUCCUGGAGAAACUAGAGGCAGCCAGGGAGGAUGCUGUUGAACCAGUUAGGAGGCUGUUGCAAGAGAUCCCAGGAAAAGAUAAUGAUAAUGUGGACUUGGAAGAUGGCAGAGGAGUUGCAGAAAAGUAUCCAGAUUUUAAAGGUCUAUAGUCUUUACUCUGCAAUUCCAAAACAGGACAAAAAACAAAACACUGUGAAACCCAAAGUGUUUUUGUAAGUUUGGCACCAGGAUUAUAUGCCAAAGAAAACCUACUGUGAACAAAUAUGAAGCCUCUAUUGUCUCAGCACUUGUAUCCGUAAGUCACACAUGCCUCUGCUAUUUGCUGAUAUUUUCUGACUUGGGGAUUAAUUCCAUGGAAAAUGUCGAAAAGGGCUAAAGAUAUACCUAUGGGUAACAGUGAGAAGAAGAAAAGGAAGCAUCUGUCUUUAUCAAUAUCUCAGAAAGUGGAGUUAUUGCAGAAACUUGAUGGUGGUAUGUCUGUGAGGUGUCUUACUGAAGAAUAUGGUAUGGGAACCACCACGAUAUAUGACUUAAAGAAACAGACAAGUUGUUGAAAUUUUAUAGUGACAGCAAUAACCAGGAACGAAUGAAAAAUAGAAAAACAUUGCAUAGAGCCAAAAAUGAAGACCUUGACCCUGUGUUGAUUGAAUGGGUUCGACAACAAAGAAGUAAAGAUACACCACUGACUGGUUUGUUGGUCGUGAAACAAGCUAGAAUAUACCAUGAAGAACUGAACUUUGAAGGAGAGUGUGAAUAUUCAGGAGGCUGGCUGCAGAAAUUUAAAAAGUGUCUUGGAAUCAAGUAUCUUCAAAUCUGUGGUGAAAAGGCUUCUCCUGAUGAUGAAGCUACUGAAAAUUACAUUGAUGAAUUUGCUAAGGUAAUAUCUGAUGAAAAUCUUAGCCCUGAACAAAUUUACAGUGCUGAUGAAACAGCUUUGUACUGGUGCUAUGUUCCUAGAAAAACUUUAACAAUGGCUAACAAAAGAGCAACAACAGAUGU